GACAGAGGGUGCAAACGUUGUUCGGAAUUACUGGGCGUAAAGCGCGUGUAGGCGGUCUCGCAAGUCGGAUGUGAAAGCCCAGGGCUCAACCCUGGAAGUGCACUCGAUACUGCGAGGCUAGAGUCCCGGAGAGGAUGGUGGAACUCUCGGUGUAGAGGUGAAAUUCGUAGAUAUCGAGAAGAACACCGGUGGCGAAGGCGGCCAUCUGGACGGUGACUGACGCUGAGACGCGAAAGCCAGGGGAGCAAACGGG
rnacentral:rRNA from 1 species